rnacentral:lncRNA from 1 species
ACGGAUAUAAUGAGUCGUACCCGAAGCUAGAACAUGCUCGGCUAUUGCUGAACCGUCCGUGUCCACAUUCUUCAUGCUCCGUAUGUGUUCUUUUACCCUUGUGGUGAUGUUACGGCGAGUCUCACCGAUGUAUGAUCUACCACAGUCACACGGAAUCUUGUACACCCCGGGCACGUUCCUCCUCCAGGACCUCUUUGUUAUGAACCACAACACUACGAACGCGCCAGAGAGGUCAUCAUAAUUCCGAAUGAAUUAAAGAAAGGAGUUGGUAAAAGAAGGGCCGCAUAGUAUUUCUUAUAGCUAGAUUCUACUUGGUAUUCAGGAGACCUUUAUAAUAAGACUAUAAGACUAUCGUAAGCUUCCUAACCUAAGCAGGUUAUAACUGCAGAACGAGACUUGAAUAAUAUUUCAAGGCAAUAAUCAAAGUUUUAUAUGCAGAUGAAUACACACUGUCGCGCGCAAUGACGCUGAUGGUACGGCGGACGGAGUCGGACUCCGACUCGAGCGGCUCGCCCUGCGCCGAGUGCAACUCCAGCGUCUCCUACAGGAUGCCGCUGGCUCCUGCCAAGGGUCAGUCGCUCUAAUACACACUGUCGCCUUCGAUGACGCUGCUGGAGCGGCAGUCAGAGUCUGACACACUCGAGCGGCUCGCCCUGCGCCGAGUGCAACUCCAGCGUCUCCUACAGGAUGCCGCUGGCUCCUGCCAAGGCGGAUGAAGUGUUCCGCGCGGUGACGGACUCGAGCGCGGAGUCGUGCGGCGGCUCGGGCUCGCGCGACAAGUCGCGGCGCCGGCCGCGGCGACACCACGCGCCCAACGCGAACAGGUACCAGCAGCAGCAGCGGCAGGAGCAGGAGCGGAGAGACUUCACGAUACACGUGUGACUUGACAAUAAGACUGCUGCAGGCGACAGUACCACUGAACAAAUUGUUGACUAGAGAUAGCUACGGUCUAGAAUUACUUUGUUUUUUAAUCGGUCAGUUUAUAGUCUCACGACGGCGACUCAGUUGACGUGUCCAUUUCAUAAAACAGAUUAAAUAAUUAUGCAUUUAAAAUAAAAAAAAAUAACUAGAAAUUAAUAUCUAGUCACCUGCACAGUGAAAUAAACAUCAUGAAAACGAAUCGCGAACAAUUAUAACGCUAUCGCCUAAUGUUUUUAUAAUUCCGGAGUGUGAAUUUUGAAUAUAUAUUAGUCUCGCUUUAUAGUAUCGUGUUAGACAGAGAGAGAUAGAGACCGAUUCGCGGUUCACAAAAAUAUCUUUACAGAGAUUCUAAAAAAGUGGACAAUACUACUGGUUGCCGGCGUAAGGUGAUAAAAAUAUUUCGGCCAAAUUUGUGAAUAGCUUUAGGCGUUUUGUAUUUGACUCGAAUUACUCGCGGCCUAUUCGAAUAAUAUUAGGUACGGGGAAUAUUUUCAAAAAUAUUGAAAGAGAUGACAAAAUUAUUAAAAAAAUUAAAAAUAUUUUUUUGAUAUACCUUUAGGUACUAAGUAAAUUUGUUAACAGUGUACGAUAUGGGUGCUCAUUCGGUUGCGCAAAAAACUUGACUGUAUUCUGUAUUAUAUCUGAAACAGUUGUCAUCCUUUUCCAAUGUUUCCUUUAGACAGGGACGGAACUAUUUUUAGAUUAGUUGAUUUAUUAAAAGCUUUUAUUUUAAGAUUUUUGACACAACCGACUGAGACCACUGGUUACAGUAAGUUAGGUGCAAUUAAUGUUAAGUAGGGAAUAUUCUUUUUUGGGAAGAUUCGGCGUAAGUUGGCACAAAAAAAUUAUAGACAAUAUUUUAUAACCAUUUCGAAAUUGAAAGAAAUUUCACUAGAUAUCUAGUUAGAUUUACCAUUAAAAUCAUAUCGAUUAAAAAGAAAAUUAUUGUCAAAUAUAAUUAUUAUAAUACGUUAAAGUUGUUCAACGCCCAAGUUAGCCAAUUUAAUUGAAAAUAUUUAAAAGUUGAAGAACUGUUAUAAAACAGAGAUUUUAAUCAUUACUAGCUCAUUAUACUUAUGACGUAAGUGAAAAUAUAUUAUUAUGUGAUCUUAUAAAAUAAACAAUUGACUGAAAACAAUUAAUACUAUAUUCAUAAAAGCUGAUCCUUUUUGAACUUUGGUGCUUCCAAUGAUUAAAAUCUCUGAAUAAAUGGUGCUAAUUGUUGCACUAUGUUAAUAGUAUAAAUAUUGGGUUUAUCAUAAGUUUGUUUAUAAAUAUUCAUAGAUAAUUAUUAAUCAUUACUUUGAUACUUGAAUACAAGGUUUUUGUAAUUAUGAUUUAUAUAAUUAUAGCUAGGUUAAACGCCAUCUACCUAUUACUGAAUACAUUUUUAAAACUUUACAAGUUCAGCCACUUUUGGUGUAAAUUUACAUGUUUAUUAUUUUACACUUUACUAUUAUAGUUUAUGGAAGCGUAUUAGAAAGGUUGUUCUAAACUUUUUUGUAUUAAAUUAUAAGUGGAUGCCAAAUUUGUGUAUAAAAUCGUCACUGCCUCUGUUGAUAAGUUUCUGUACAUAAAUAAACUACAAAACUACGAAAAUUAAAAAGAACAUUUCAAAUUA